GUCUGGCUGGCUCGGAGGUAGAGUGUGUGACUCUUGAUCCCAGGGUCAUGAGUUCGAGUCCCACGUUGGGCA
rnacentral:tRNA from 1 species